CCUACGGGAGGCAGCAGUGAGGAAUAUUGGUCAAUGGGCGCGAGCCUGAACCAGCCAAGUAGCGUGAAGGAUGACUGCCCUAUGGGUUGUAAACUUCUUUUAUAAAGGAAUAAAGCGAGGCACGUGUGCCUUUUUGCAUGUACUUUAUGAAUAAGGAUCGGCUAACUCCGUGCCAGCAGCCGCGGUAAUACGGAGGAUCCGAGCGUUAUCCGGAUUUAUUGGGUGUAAAGGGAGCGUAGACGGGUUGUUAAGUCAGUUGUGAAAGGUUGGGGCUCAACCCUCAAAUUGCAAUUGAUACUGGCAGGCUGGAGUACAGGUGAGGUAGGCGGAAUUCGUGGUGUAGCGGUGAAAUGCGUAGAUAUUACGAAGAACCCCGAUUGCGAAGGCAGCUUACUAAACUGUGACUGACAUUGAGGCUCGAAAGCGUGGGGAGCAAACAGGAUUAGAUACCCUGGUAGUC
rnacentral:rRNA from 1 species